CGGAAUGAUGGCGUUGCCGCGCGACCGCUUAUGUCCAGCGGGUAACUUGCAUACUGCCACACUGUCUCCUGCUCGAUGCAUACGCUGCAGUCAGGAUGCACCUCCACGAUAAAAAAAACACCGCCAUGAACCAGCGGUGGACCUAACGGUAGGCGGACUAGGCGGUCGCCGAAAAUCUCUAGUCUGUAGUAUGCCAUAUGUCUACAAGUGGACAGAGUAUUAGCGACAAGGGCCCCCAGAAAGAUGGUCGUUGGGGCCCCGUGGCUGGAGAACCAUCUGCACUCUAAACUCGCGCACGCGUUAUCCAGCGAUUACGGUGAUAAAGAAACAUUAUUUUAAUAGAAUAUGGCCUCUUUUAACUUGCAGAUAUAAUGCAGGAAUGAUAUGGGCCUGCGGCAGGUGUUUGCGACUGUGCGCUGUGUAUGAUUGUGUAUGAUACGCCAAUUUUCCUCUAUCCUGGAACGUGGGCUUACGAGGAACCAUUCAAGAAGAUCCUCCGGAAGCUGUACGGCGACGAGUCGGGCUCUACCAGCACAACACGCUAGAGGCCCAGCCGGCACCGGGUGCCCAGAUUGCGCCGUGAGACAAUGUCGAGCGCGCUCGUUAACAACGUUCGGGGCAGGAAUGCAACCCUUCUGAUCAUUAUCCUCUGCCUCACAAUAGCUGCAGCAGCAACAGGACCGAACCGACCGCACUACUGAUUGCGGUCAAAUUUCCUGGCAGGAGAAAAAAUCCCACAAGUGUAUCGAUUUCAUCGACGGCCGCUCGCUGGCAGCACCAACAUGCCACCGAAUAACCCCGGAAAGGCGACAAACACUCAUCUCCAGCGGCAAAUUGGUAACAUUAACCCACUUUCGCACAUCUAUACGACGUCACGUUAAUAGUGUUAUUUUGAUGAUGUUAACGAGUUAAGAUUAGAAUUAAGUACGCUUUAAGGCAUACAUCGAUAUGCUUAAUUUUAAGUUAAGUGUUUUGACAAGCCCGUGUGGGUCAAGGGGCGGAAUAAGCGCUAAGCAAACUAAGCGGCCGCGUAGGGCCCCGUGGUCUUGAGGGGGCCCAAAAAAGGAACUCACCCCCCACUCGCAAGUUAAAUUGCUACUAAAUCCUGCUCUAGUUUAGAAUAUUUCCCUGCUAGACGCUUAAACCAAUCUUACAUUUAUGUGACUGAUUAGGGCCUCCACUCGUAUUUGUGGGUUUUGCACAACAUUUAAGAUAAAUAAAUUUAGUUUAUAUUAUCAUAAAACACUACGCAUUUUUAAAGGGGGAAUAAAGAUGAUGACAUAUAUUUAGUUUGUUAGAAGGUUUGUAUGCACGUUCACUAGUUUAUUUUAUCUGGAUUCUUUGCGGACUGCUUUUCGAUUGCGCAUGUCGCUUUGCCUCGUCUUGUGUUUUACAAACCCUAACAGCAGGGAUGCGGCUAGUCUAUCAUUGGAUUAACCUGGUGGAUCGGGUAGCUUGUAGCGCACCAUACUCGCCUGUCCGCGAUGGGUAGGCCAUGUCAUACCCCUGGUACUGAAAGAUCCAGCCCAUAGUCGUUCGCAAGGACAGACAAAACGGUGUGUCACAGAAUGUGUAACAGAUGGUAGAAAAUGGGUACCUGCGGGUGAGAGAGUCUGUUUCUAAUGUUUUAUUAUCAGUUGGUGACACGUUCAAAUGGAUGUGCACAGAUCACUGCCCGAUCCUGAGGGCUCACCGUUGAAAGAGGCACUGUCAGCGUGUGAUGUCCUCAGAGAGGAUCUUGAUACGGAACCGAGAGUGGCUGUUCUCUCCCCCUCCCCCUCCCGCGUGUGUUUUUGGAUGUGGCUUUCUUUUUCUUCUUCCUUAUGUAUGUGGCUUUAUAAUCAUGUGUUAAAGAAAUAAACCAAAGA